GGACAAAAGGAGAGAAUUGAUUUCUGCCUUGGUUCCGUGAGGAAAAUGAAACUUCCUGCAAUUUCUCUGUGUGCGUCCCCCUUGGCCUCGCUCCCCUCCCAAACAACUUUUGAACCCUUCGGUCAGUUUUGGCCCUGUUGGAUCCCGAGGCUGCACUGCAGGGAGUUAAUUGAGAUGAGCAGAGAUUCUCCAUGAACAUCCCAGUGAAGAGGAGGCUGUGGCUCAGCACCAGAAGACACACACAGAAAAGGGACGUGAAUGCUCCAGCAGGUGAAGCUUGCUCCUGCUUAUUAUGAACAACUGGUUUUCCAAGGUCUGUAUCCUCCUGUGCUUGCUGACGUCUGUGCUUUCCCAGCAGCACACUAAAUGGUGUCACAGGAAGACUUUCUUCUACUGCCAGCUUGAAAAAAUGGUGCAGCAGAGAACGCCGUCAGAGGACAUGGAGAUGCACUCGAUGGGAGACCCCAAACGAGGCAGGAAAUCCUUCUGGCAUGAAGAUUCAUUGUGCCACUGGACUAGAACAGAUUCAACUCCACCACUCAGCAACCUGGUUCCUUUUCCAGCAACAAAAUACAGUUAAAAGGUUUUGCUUAAAAAGAAAUGAAAUCAGCAGCCUGUGUCUUUACAAUGACAGACAGACAUGAAUUUCUCAAAACUUUUUAAACUGUCAGAAGUAAACGACAAUACCAAGCCUGGGUAAUAUACAUAGA